rnacentral:rRNA from 1 species
UACGUAGGCAGCGAGCGUUGUUCGGAAUUACUGGGCGUAAAGCGUGCGCAGGCGGUGAUGUAAGACAGUUGUGAAAUCCCCGGGCUCAACCUGGGAACUGCAUCUGUGACUGCAUCGCUGGAGUGCGGCAGAGGGGGAUGGAAUUCCGCGUGUAGCAGUGAAAUGCGUAGAUAUGCGGAGGAACACCGAUGGCGAAGGCAAUCCCCUGGGCCUGCACUGACGCUCAUGCACGAAAGCGUGGGGAGCAAACAG